UUAAAUUACAAAUAUCUUUAUCAUCCUCCAGAAUCUUCUCGAGCAAUAUUCUCUACAAGCCUUCUUCUUCCUUCACCCUUACACGCACUCUCGCUUCCUCUGCUCCUCGCUUCUCUAUCCGAUCAAUGGCUGACUCUGCUUUCAAGAAUUCAGAGCGAUGACACUUUGGCUACUAUGUUGCACGGGUACGGCAACUCAAGCCGUUUCAAGUACCCAAUACGUUAUCGAUAUGUGUACGAGACGAGUACAAUUUGGGUAUGUACCGCGAACGUCCCAUGUUGAAGGGGCACAAUCAGAAUUGGUUGGGUUGGUCGGAGAUUCUGAGGUUGUAUUGGGAAUGAUGAUUGAUCUUCACGGACAUACCCAAGACAUUUGAUGCAUAUGUGGUUGGCAAAUAAGAUGCAUCUGGAAUUGUUGUUAUUCAGGAGUGGUGGGGUGUUGAUUUUGAGAUAAAAAAUCAUGCCCUGAAGAUCUCUCAACUGGCUUCAGGUUUCAAAGCUCUAAAAUUUCAUUCUCCAUUUGUAUCGAGGAAAGGUUGGUCUGGAUGUUGCUGAAGCUCAACACCUAAUGGACGGUCUUGAUUGGCAAGGUGCUGUAAAGGAUAUCCGUGCUUCAGUUAACUGGCUUAAAGCUAAUGGCUCAAAGAAGUUCUGUACUGGUUCUUUAUCGUCUUUCUGGUUAAAGCCAUAUGCUUACUCAAAACAUUUUUUAUGUUUAUACACUUCCUUUUAUUGUCUGUUCUGCUAACUUAUUUGACUGAGAUAAGCAUAUGAUGCAUAUGUGGUUGGCAAAUAAGAUGCAUCUGGAAUUGUUGUUCUUCAGGAGUGGUGGGGUGUUGAUUUUGAGAUAAAAAAUCAUGCCCUGAAGAUCUCUCAACUGGCUUCAGUUUGUAUCAAGGAAAGGUUGGUCUGGAUGUUGCUGAAGCUCAACACCUAAUGGACGGUCUUGAUUGUUUGUAUCAAGGAAAGGUUGGUCUGGAUGUUGCUGAAGCUCAACACCUAAUGGACGGUCUUGAUUGGCAAGGUGCUGUAAAGGAUAUCUGUGCUUCAGUUAACUGGCUUAAAGCUAAUGGCUCAAAGAAGUUCUGUACUGGUUCUUUAUCGUCUUUCUGGUUAAAGCAAUAUGCUUACUCAAAACAUUUUUUAUGUUUAUACACUUCCUUUUAUUGUCUGUUCUGCUAACUUAUUUGACUGAGAUAAGUUGAAACAGAUAUAUGAAGCUGAUUCAUAUU